AUUAGAGUUUGAUCAUGGCUCAGGAUGAACGCUGGCGGCAUGCCUAAUACAUGCAAGUCGAACGGGGUGCUUGCACCCAGUGGCGAACGGGUGAGUAACACGUAUCUAAUCUACCUUUUAGUGGGGGAUAACAGUUGGAAACGACUGCUAAUACCGCAUACGACAUCAUUAUCGCAUGAGAAGAUGUUGAAAGGCCCGUUUGGGUCGCUAGAAGAUGAGGAUGCGGCGUAUUAGCUAGUAGGUGGGGUAAAGGCCCACCUAGGCGAUGAUACGUAGCCGAACUGAGAGGUUGAUCGGCCACAUUGGGACUGAGAUACGGCCCAGACUCCUACGGGAGGCAGCAGUAGGGAAUUUUUCACAAUGGGCGAAAGCCUGAUGAAGCAAUGCCGCGUGAGUGAUGACGGUCUUCGGAUUGUAAAGCUCUGUUGUAAGGGAAGAACAGCUAGAAGAGGAAAUGCUUUUAGUUUGACGGUACCUUACCAGAAAGCCACGGCUA
rnacentral:rRNA from 1 species